GAGGGCAUAGCUCAGUGGUAGAGUGUGUGCUUAGCAUGCAUGAGAUCCUGGGUUCAAUCCCCAAUACUCCCA
rnacentral:tRNA from 1 species